GACGAACGCUGGCGGCGUGCCUAAUACAUGCAAGUUGAGCGAUGAAGAUUGGUGCUUGCACCAAUUUGAAGAGCAGCGAACGGGUGAGUAACGCGUGGGGAAUCUGCCUUUGAGCGGGGGACAACAUUUGGAAACGAAUGCUAAUACCGCAUAACAACUUUAAACAUAAGUUUUAAGUUUGAAAGAUGCAAUUGCAUCACUCAAAGAUGAUCCCGCGUUGUAUUAGCUAGUUGGUGAGGUAAAGGCUCACCAAGGCGAUGAUACAUAGCCGACCUGAGAGGGUGAUAGGCCACAUUGGGACUGAGACACGGCCCAAACACCUACGGGAGGCAGCAGUAGGGAAUCUUCGGCAAGGGACGAAAGUCUGAACGAGCAACGCCGCGUGAGUGAAGAAGGUUUUCGGAUCGUAAAAAUCUGUUGGUAGAGAAGAACGUUGGUGAGAGUGGAAAGCUCAUCAAGUGACGGUAACUACACAGAAAGGGGCGGCUAACUACGUG
rnacentral:rRNA from 1 species